rnacentral:sRNA from 1 species
UAAUAGCCCUGAUGGGAGCAAGCUACCGUGUAGCGCGGACAGCAGGAACAAGG